AAUUCAAGUUCAGCCUUGCGGUUUGUUUGUUGACAAAGAACAUGACUUCUUGGCGGCUUCACCUGACGGACUGGUCGGAGGUGAUAAACUGAUUGAGGUGAAAUGUCCGAAGUCAGCUGAAAACCUCACUAUCAGCGAAGCCGUGAUCAAAGUGAAAUCAUUCUGCUUGGAAAAACUACGUUGUGGAAACGUCCGUCUCAAGAAAAACCACAAUUAUUAUUACCAGGUGCAAGGGCAACUACAUGUAGCUGAGAAAAAAUCUGUUAUUUUGUAGUAUGGACAAAAAAGAUAUCCAUAUUGAAAAGAUCGAGAGGGGUGUUGGUUUUGGACCGAGAAGAUGGAGAAAAAAUUAAUUUAUUUCUACCAUCACGCCUUGUUGCCAGAGAUACUGGAUCCUCGAACUUGUCGAAGUAUGGCAAUCAGGGAGCCAUCAAUCCCUUUUUCUCAUUUUUAAAUAAAGUCUCAUUGAAAAUUA